GGUCCCCGCAGGAUCUUCUCGAGCUGUAGCGACGCCCAUCGACCCCCAGAACCGCUCCUCACCCGUUAGCGGUGAAGGCGAACGAAAGGCCCGCGGCAGCCCGGUGUUGCGGUGCCCCCUGGCGCUCCGUGCGGCACCCGCAGCCCCGCACCGACAGCAUUGGGCGUCGUACUGAGGGAUGGGGGUAGGGGGAAACACCGCUGCUGGGUGGGGGGCUGGACGGGAUGAGCUUGGAGGUCUUUUCCGACCCCGGUAACUCCGCGAUUCUGUGAUUCUUGGCACUUGAGCACCAGAUCCAAGGUUAAGAGUUGCACACCUGCAGUCGUGAAGUGAGAUUAAAGAAUUCUCCAAAGCAAGAGAAAAAUUAAACAGCAUUUCAAGCUCCUUCAACGGCAUCUCCGAACGCCUCACUCUGGGCCAGGUUUCCUCUCACAAGAGAACACUGCAACAACCACAGACGCAGUUCUGUUCCACCACCCCAGGGAUCCCGGCUGCAGGAUCCCCUCCAGACUGGGGCUGCCUGAAAACCCACAACUCCUGCAGCACUCCUGGCUGCUGGGCAGCCCUGCCAAGCCGUGGACUGCUGAAGUGCUGCGAGACAAAAUGCUGGCCUUGUCCUCCGAAGUUUCAAGUAUGUUUGCCAACUACACCACCACCCAACGAACAACACCUCGAUUACCACCAUACAUCACCCUCAGUUUUGUUACACAUCUCCUGAGGUCUUCCAACGUUUUCCUCGUAGAGAGGAAUCACAGAAUCAUAUGGGUUAGAAGAGACUGCAAUGACCAAAUACACAGAUAUGUGUCUUCAGUAUCUGUAUUUUUUGCUCUAUGUACACACAUCACGUUUCUUUUGUCUCACACACAGUUGUUCACUCUCUGAGCUGUAGCCUGCAGUCAAAGAUGAAUCUCAGUUUAAGCUCAAAAGACAACACAAGGUAUGAAUUAAUCAAAAAGAUUUAUUUUCUACUCAGCUGAAUGGGAAUUCGUGGAGUCCCCUGGACAAGCUGGGAGGCUCUCCUUGAGGCACCCAAUACAACGACGGCAACAGCACAUCACAAAGGAAACCUUUGCAUCUACCUGUGACCUUUGCGAAGGCACAGGACAGGACCAAAGUCACAACCAGGAGGUCGUUACUGCCCCGUGUGGGUAUGGGCUGUGCAGAGCUCGGGCAGACAGACACACAGAACAGCUGCUCAGCCCAUCUCCCACACCACAGAACUGCUGACUGCCAGGGCUUCCCCCCACACCGACCAGGUGCACAGCUUUCAUUACUGCACUGCAGGGUCGUGCUGCUUCAGUGGCAGUGACACCAGAAACACGGAGAACAACUGAGGGGGCAAGGAGGGAGUGAGAGAGAAGGGGAAGUUCACUGUAAGCAGAGAAAUCCUGUUUCUGUCUGAAGCGGGGAACCUAACCAAAAAGGGCAGUAUUAAAGAACCAGUGGGACUGCCCCAGUUUACCACAAACUGCUACUGAGAAAUGUCUUCAAGGAGCAACACAAGUGUUUGAACACUGCUGGAAAAAAAUAUGUAUGUAUCGCUAUCUUGGCAAAUAGGGGAAACAGCUGUACAGAAAGUAAGGAUGUUCCCAGCGCAGUGAUCCUGUGCUUUGCACAAAGCGUUACUUCCUAUUUCAGAAAGGAUUCAAACUCCCAAGGAAGGCCUGCAUCCACCGCAUGCUGUGAGAUGUGGCAAACACCACAUCUGUAAAACACAAUCACCAGGUGCUAUCGUGUCCUCAGCUACUUCUCUACCCCCGAAGGGAAAGGCAAUGGCACAGAACCAGUGCUGAGUUACCAAAAAAGGGCAACGGCCACAAUCCAGUUAAAGA